CAAAGUGCUGGGAUUACAGGCAUGAGCCACCGUGCCCGGUCUGAGACCCUGUGUCCAUAAAAAAAUUAUAAAUAUUAGCCAGGUGUGGUAGCAUGCACCUGUAGUCCCAGCGACUCAGGAGGUUCAUGAAGGAGGAUCGCUUGAGCCUGGGAGGUCGAGGCUACAGUGGACUAUGAUCAUGCCACUGCACUGCACUCUGGCCUGGGUGACAGAGUGAGACCCUGUCUAUCUUUAGGGAAAAAAAAGAGACAAAAGCUGGCUGUUGGGCUUUCAAAGUGAGGACACAGUGGGGCGCCAUCGGGGGCACCAGGGUGGCCUCAGCCGCCCCUGUGUGAAAUGCAGGUGCCCAGGAGACUGUGCGUGCGGAAGUGCUCAGAGGCUGCAGAGUGCACUGGAGAGACAAGAGUGCCGGGAAGCAUAACAACAACAAAUGUGCAGACCGUGACCCUGACGUGAGGCUCUGGAACCGUUGUGGUUUUCCUCGACUUCCAGGGACGAUCCUACCAUCAGGACGCAUGUGUGUCCCCGGGGUGGGAGAGCAUUGCUCUUCAACCCCAAGGGCUCACUACGAUCACCUGGGAGCCCAGGAACCACCAAAGCCAGGAGGCCACAUCCACCAAGGUCACCUGGCCCUAGGAUGGCCCCAGCACUGGCCCCAGGUGGCUUAAGAUGUGGCCAUGGUUGAGGAAUCAGGGUACUGUUUGGGAAGGCGGGUGACAGGAUGGGGGCCCUGUAGCCAGAAACCUUGGGGGUAGUAACUCCUCCCUUCUGUCCCUGUAGCCAGUGAUCUGACCGCACUGGGCCGUCAGCAACUCAAGGCCUAUGAGCUGCUUCAACCCCAACAGCUGGGCGGUGCCUGCCAUCUUGUGGGCAAACUGGCAAAUGUCAGAAACCCAGAAACGUCAUGAUGGUAGCCUAGUGCUGGGGGCAGCAAAGGGCAAAGACUGCCAGGUGCUCUCCCUGGGGCCACCUCAGGUGGGGCUGAGGUUGCUCAGGCCACUGUCAUGAACUACCACAGACCAGAUGGCUUAAAAAAUGUAUUCCUCAAAAAUUAGCCAGGUGUGGUGGCGCACGCCUGUAAUCCCACCUACUCGGGAGGCUGAGGCAGGAGAAUCGCUUGAACCCAGGAGGCAGAGGUUGUGGUGAGCUGAGAUCAUGCCACUACACUCCAGCCUGGGCAACAGAGCAAGACUCCAUCUCAAAAACAAAAAAACAAAAAUUAGCUGGGCGUGGUGGCAGGCACCUGUAAUCCCAGCUACUCUGAAGGCUGAGGCAGGAGAAUGGUGUGAACCCAGGAGGCGGAGGAUGCAGUGAGCUGAGAUUGUGCCACUGCACUCCAGCCUGGGUGACAGAGUUAGACUCUGUCUCAAAAAAAAAAAGUAUUCCUGGCCAGGCGUGGUGGCUCACACCUGUAAUCCCAGCACUGUGGGAGGCUGAGGCGGGCAGAUCACUUGAGGUCAAGAGUUCGAGAUCAGCCUGACCAACAUGAUAAAACCCUGUCUCUACUAAAAAUACAAAAAUUAGGCCAGGAACGGUAACUCAUGCCUAUAAUCCCAGCACUUUGGGAGGCUGAGGCAGGCGGAUCAUGAGGUCAGGAGUUACAGACGAGCCUGGCCAACACAGUGAAACCCCAUCACUAGGAAAAAUACAAAAAUUAGCUGGGUGUGGUGGCACACGCCUGUAGUCCCAGCUACUAGGGAGGCUGAGGCAGGAGAACUGCUUGAACCCGGGAGGCAGAGGUUGUGGUGAGCUGAGAUCGUGCCACUGCACUCCAGCCUGGGCAACAGGGCAAGACUCCAUCUCAAAAACAAAAAAACAAAAAAAAAAUUAGCUGGGUGUGGUGGUGGGCACCUGUAAUCCUAGCCACUUGGGAGGCUGAGGCAGGACAAUCGCUUGAACCCAGGAGGAGGAGGAUGCCACUGCACUCCAGCCUGGGUGACACAGAGUGAGAUCCUGUCUCAAAAAAAAAAAAAAAAAAAAAAAAAGUAUUCCUUCACAGUCACAGUCCUGGAGGCCAGAAGUCCCAAAUCAAGGUGUCAGCAGGGCCACACUCCUUCCAAAGGCUCUAGGGGAGGAUACUUCCCUGCCUCUCCCAGCUUUUGGUGACUGUUACAUUCCUCAGUUUGUAGCCACAUUACUCCCAUCUCUGCUUCCAUCAUCUCUGUGUCUCAAAUCUCCCUCUGCCUUUUUUUUUUUCUUUUUCCAGUGGCGGGUUCUGGUGAAGACAAGAAAGCCUACUAGAAACAUUCUUUUUUUCUUUUUUUUUUUUUUUUUUUGAGAUAGGGUCUCACUUUUGACAUAGUAAGAGCACCAACAUCUCAGACAAACACUGCCACUUUAAGUUCCAGCCCCCUUUCUAGCCUCAUGAAUUUUAAGGAAAUUUCUUUUUUCUUUUUUUUUAAUAGAGAAGUCUCGCUCUUGUUCCCCAGGCUUGAAUGCAAUGGCUGGAUCUUGGCUCACUGCAACCUCCACCUCCUGGGUUCAAACGAUUCUCCUGCCUCUGCCUCCCAAGUAGCUGGGAUUAAGGUGCCUGCCACCAUGCCCGGCUAAUUUUUGUAUUUUUUAGUAGAGACGGGGUUUCACCAAGUUGGUCAGGCUGGUCUCGAACUCCUGACCUCAGGUGAUCCGCCCGCCUCCCAAAGUGCUGGAAUUACAGGUGUGAACCACCGCGCCCGGCCAGGAAAUCACUUCUAACUACAAGCAGCCAGAAAGAGGAGACAGUAAAACACAGAAAGACAGCUCGGACAGAGAGAGAGUGGGAAGAAAAUUUCUUGGGUAACUGCCAAACUUCACCUUCAUACAACGGGCCCCAGUAAAACAGUGGGCCUUAAUAAGCACAUUCCUUUCCCUUCAGGUGCACUAAAAUAGGCAAGCUAAAAGCAGAGUAGGGGGGUAUGCCUGCAGCUGCAGAAAGAUGUAUGGGAGGCUGGGCACGGUGGCUCACACCUGUAAUCCCAACACUUUGGUAGGCCAAGGCGGGCAGAUCACAAGGUCAAGAGAUGGAGACCAUCCUGGCCAACAUGGUGAAACCCCGUCUCUACUAAAAAUACAAAAAUUAGCCGGGCCAUGGUGGCGCGCGCCUGUAAUCCCAGCUACUCGAGAGGCUGAGAAAGGAGAAUUGCUUGAACCUGGGGGCGGAGGUUGCAGUGAGCCGAGAUCACGCCACUGCACUCCAGCCUGGCAACAGCGCGAGUCUCCAUCUCAA
rnacentral:lncRNA from 10 species